GCAGAGCAUCCUACGGGAGGCAGCAGUGGGGAAUAUUGCACAAUGGGCGCAAGCCUGAUGCAGCCAUGCCGCGUGUAUGAAGAAGGCCUUCGGGUUGUAAAGUACUUUCAGCAGUGAGGAAGGUGGGUAUGUUAAUAGCAUAUUCAUUUGACGUUAGCUGCAGAAGAAGCACCGGCUAACUCCGUGCCAGCAGCCGCGGUAAUACGGAGGGUGCGAGCGUUAAUCGGAAUUACUGGGCGUAAAGCGCAUGCAGGUGGUUUGUUAAGUCAGAUGUGAAAGCCCGGGGCUCAACCUCGGAAUUGCAUUUGAAACUGGCAAACUAGAGUACUGUAGAGGGGGUAGAAUUUCAGGUGUAGCGGUGAAAAUGCGUAGAGAUCUGAAGGAAUACCGGUGGCGAAGGCGGCCCCCUGGACAGAUACUGACACUCAGAUGCGAAAGCGUGGGGAGCAAACAGGAUUAGAACCCUGGUAG
rnacentral:rRNA from 1 species